ACUCCCAUGGCGUAGUGGUCACUGCACUCGCCUUGCACGCGGGAGACCCGGGUUCGAUUCCCGGCGGGGUC
rfam:Asian citrus Psyllid, Diaphorina citri - Florida Strain, whole genome shotgun sequence.